UAAGACAUGAUGCAUGAGAGGGUGCUUUGUUGUGACAAAGCUGCCAAUAACUAGUUACCCAUUAGCUGAGGCCUUCUGAAUCAUCCCAAUAUUGUUUCUGCAGAGGAAUGCUCAAGCUUAAUGCAAAAUCUGAUGCAGAUUCACUGCUCUACUUGCUCAGUCAUUUUGAGUGUGACAGCCACACAGUACACAUGCUCACUCAACAGCCUCUACUGCCCCCACUGACUUUGACAGUGAAGUUGUUGUUCACACGUGUGCAUGCCAGUCCACUCUCCUUGGCUCUCAAGUUACAUCAAUGUCACACAAUCCAUUGUUAUUAUAUUAAUAAUGGCUGUACAUUUUUUGGACAGACCUCAUCUUAUAUUGAUGUUCCACUGUCUGCAAAGUCUUAGUAUUGAGAAUAAUCUUAUAACAUAGCAGACACAGUCCCUGCCCUUCUCAAGCUUUUAUAUUGGGGGUACAAGUAUUAAAUUAUUAAAUUGAAAAUAAGUAAUGAAAUCUGAGAUAAAUGUGUUGAUACUUAUGUAGCCUUGUAGAGAAAUAAUAUGCAGGAAGCUAUUCUUAUAUUAAGUACAAAGAACCAGUAGCAGUUAGAUUAAUGAUAGGGCUGGGGAAUGGACUGCAAAGAGGCAGCAUUCCAGGCAGAUAAGCAUAAUGCAGCAGUUAAGAAUGUUACAAAUAAUAGCUCCCCAAGGAUUGUCUUUUGGAGAUGCUAGAAAAAGUAAUGCUAAUUGAAUUGAAGUAUAUUUUUACUGAGAUGCUUGGAACAAAACUCAGAAACUUCUGUUUACCCCACUCUUGCCUUGUCAUCUCACAGUCCAUCUAUCAGCUGGUCCUGUAGCCAACGUCUCCAAAAUACACAUCAUGUUUGACCACUUCCCACCACGUCCUCCACUACUACUGAGUCCAAACCACUUUCACCUCUCACCUGUGCUCUAUCAGUUUUUUCAACAAACACUCCCCUGCUUCCAGCUUUGCAAUCAGAGUGAUCUUGUAAAAAGGCAAGUCAGAUCAUGCAUUGCCACUUUUGAACAUCCCAAUCAAUGAACAUCCAAAUGAUCUCAGAGUAAAUUCCAAACUCCACAUAAAGAUAGUGUGUCUGGCCUCUGUGUCAGUCUUGAACUUCCUGUUGUUAUUUCCUGCAAAAUAUGUAUUAUGCUUUAAUCCAUCUGGUCUGUUUUUCAACUACUUUAGCAUUCAAAACCCAUUUUGGUGUUGGGGACUUGAGUGCUUUGCCUAAACCUUUUUCCCUCAGGUGUUUGCAAGCUUCAUUUUUUUUUUGUCAUCAUUCAGGUUUCUGGACUCAUUCAUGCCUUAGUUCUUUAUCUCCCACCUAAACAUUUUAUCCCCUUUUUAUUUUUAUGAUACUACUUGAAUUGGCAUUACUUGCUUACUUGUUUAC